rnacentral:rRNA from 1 species
AUGCCUCCCAAAGCUCCCAAGGCACCCAUCACGUGCAACUGGAUGAGAUCCAAUGUCACGGACGACACUCUAGCUGAUUUCGUAAAGACGGGUUACUUGCCCAAGAAGGAAAUCAUGUCUUACCGUGCCCCUGACCCGUCGGAGGAGAGACCGCAACCAAGAGAUGGUGAGGUGGUGAUAUUUGCUGAUCACAUGAGCCGGGGCUUCGCACCGCCCGGCUCAAAAUUCUUUAGAGAUGUGCUGAAUUUCUUUGAUCUGCGACCGCAAGACAUAGGACCCAACUCCGUGUCAAAUAUUUGCAACUUUCAAGUAUUCUGCGAAGUCUAUCUUGGAGAAGAGCCCAGCCUGCUGCUCUUUAGAGAGCUAUUCUAUCUGAACCGCCAGAACGAGUGCGCCAACGGGCCGAGCCUGGAACUUGGUGGGAUCUCCAUCCAACGCCGCAGAGACUGCCUCUUUCCUUACGCUGAACCGCCCAGCCAUCCAAAGGACUGGAACCAGACCUGGUUCUACUGCCAGGAUACUUCGCCGGCUGACGAGAGACCUCUGCCCGGCUUUCGUGCCCUGCGUCUGGAGCCAAGUCACUCCCUGCCGGAUAAGCUAACUCAAGCUGAGCGUCAACCUCUGAUCCCCACCAUCAACGAAAUUAAGGCUCUGCUGGGGAAUGGCCUCAACGGCAUUGAUCUGGUCCGGGUCUGGAUCUCUUGGCGGGUGAUCCCCUUAAGCCGCCGCCCCGGCUUAAUGUGUGAUUAUACGGGCUGGAAAGAUGACCCUCUGCGACACAGCCGCAACGAUCUACCUGAAGACGUUGUUGACGACAUGACCAAGUCCCUCUUGAAUGAGAGCUUGACAGACUGCGGGAGGACCGGCUUAAGCCCCUUAUGCAAGACUAACCCGGCCCCAGCGGCUGAUGAUAAGUUCUGGAAGGUCAAGUAUGACCAUGAGGCGGCCAAAAAGGCCAGGAAAGCUAAGAAAGCCGCCAGGAGAGCCGCCCCCCGCAAGAAGGGAAGCAGGCCUACUGCCUCAGAGCUGCUUCAGCUAAGUGACAGCUCCGAGUCAGAGGAUGACACCGGAGCAAGUAACCCGGUGACUGAAGAGAUUCAUGAGAGCCGGCGGCACACCCGGACCAACAAGGAUGCAGACCUCUCCUCCGGCUUACCUGAAGCGUCAAGGAAGCGCCGGACCGAGUGCCCAAGCAAAGCUCAGCAAGAGGGCGAAGAAGAAUAA